rnacentral:ncRNA from 1 species
AGGUUUGGUCCUGGCCUUAUAAUUAGUUAGAGAUAAAAUUACACAUGCAAAACUCCAUUCACCAGUGUCAACUCCCCACCAAAUUUGAACAAAUUUCAAGGAGAGGACAUCAAGUACAUAAACUAUAGCUAAAGACGUCUUGCCUAGCCACGCCCCCACGGGAUCCAGCAGUGAUAAAAAUUAAGCAAUGAACGAAAGUUUGACUAAGUUAUAUCUCUUCAGGGUUGGUAAAUUUCGUGCCAGCCACCGCGGUCAUACGAUUAACCCAAAUUAAUUACACCCGGCGUAAAACGUGUUCUUAAGUCCAAUAAAAAUAGAAUUAAAAAUCAACCAAUAUGUGAAAAUUAAUUGUUGUAAUUAAAAACACUAACGAAAGUAAUUCUAAUAGACUUUAAUACACGAUAGCUAAGACCCAAACUGGGAUUAGAUACCCCACUAUGCUUAGCCCUAAACCUUAAUAUUUAGUAACAAAAAUAUUUGCCAGAGAACUACUAGCCACCGCUUAAAACUCAAAGGACUUGGCGGUACUUUAUAUCCAUCUAGAGGAGCCUGUUCUGUAAUCGAUAAACCCCGCUACACCUCACCACCCCUUGCUAAUUCAGCCUAUAUACCGCCAUCUUCAGCAAACCUUUAAAAAGAGUAAAAGUAAGCAAGAGUAUUAAAUCCAUAAAAACGUUAGGUCAAGGUGUAGCUUAUGAGGUGGGAAGAAAUGGGCUACAUUUUCUCAUAUAGAACAUAAACGAAAGUCUUUAUGAAACUAAAGACUAAAGGAGGAUUUAGUAGUAAAUUAAGAAUAGAGAGCUUAAUUGAAUCGAGCAAUGAAGUACGCACACACCGCCCGUCACCCUCUUCAAACCAAGUGAACAGUACUAUUACAUAAAUCCAACUCAUAUACUUAUUAGAAGAGGUAAGUCGUAACAUGGUAAGCAUACUGGAAAGUGUGCUUGGAAUAAAC